rnacentral:rRNA from 1 species
AUUGAACGCUGGCGGCAGGCUUAACACAUGCAAGUCGAGCGGAGAUGAGGUGCUUGCACCUUAUCUUAGCGGCGGACGGGUGAGUAAUGCUUAGGAAUCUGCCUAUUAGUGGGGGUCAACAUUCCGAAAGGAAUGCUAAUACCGCAUACGUCCUACGGGAGAAAGCAGGGGAUCUUCGGACCUUGCGCUAAUAGAUGAGCCUAAGUCGGAUUAGCUAGUUGGUGGGGUAAAGGCCUACCAAGGCGACGAUCUGUAGCGGGUCUGAGAGGAUGAUCCGCCACACUGGGACUGAGACACGGCCCGGACGCCUACGGGAGGCAGCAGUGGGGAAUAUUGGACAAUGGGGGAAACCCUGAUCCAGCCAUGCCGCGUGUGUGAAGAAGGCCUUAUGGUUGUAAAGCACUUUAAGCGAGGAGGAGGCUACUGAGACUAAUACUCUUGGAUAGUGGACGUUACUCGCAGAAUAAGCACCGGCUAACUCUGUGCCAGCCGCCGCCGUAA